CGCGUAGGCGGCUGCGCAAGUCGGAUGUGAAAUCCCUCGGCUCAACUGAGGAACUGCAUCCGAAACUGCGUAGCUCGAGUCCCGGAGAGGGUAGCGGAAUUCCCAGUGUAGCGGUGAAAUGCGUAGAUAUUGGGAGGAACACCAGUGGCGAAGGCGGCUACCUGGACGGGUACUGACGCUGAGGCGCGAAAGCUAGGGGAGCAAACA
rnacentral:rRNA from 1 species